rnacentral:rRNA from 1 species
UGGGGAAUAUUGGACAAUGGGCGCAAGCCUGAUCCAGCAAUGCCGCGUGAGUGAUGAAGGCCUUAGGGUUGUAAAGCUCUUUCGCACGCGACGAUGAUGACGGUAGCGUGAGAAGAAGCCCCGGCUAACUUCGUGCCAGCAGCCGCGGUAAUACGAAGGGGGCUAGCGUUGUUCGGAAUUACUGGGGCGUAAAGGGCGCGUAGGCGGCCUGUUUAGUCAGAAGUGAAAGCCCCGGGCUCAACCUGGGAAUAGCUUUUGAUACUGGCGNNNUGGAUCGGUUCCGGAGGAUGGAUGGAUGGAAUUCCCAGUGUAGAGGUGAAUUCGUAGAUAUUGGGAAGAACACCGGUGGCGAAGGCGGCCAUCUGGACGGACACUGACGCUGAGGCGCGAAAGCGUGGGGAGCAAA